rnacentral:rRNA from 1 species
CCACACAGUAAACGAUGAAUACUCGCUGUUUGCGAUAUACAGUAAGCGGCCAAGCGAAAGCAUUAAGUAUUCCACCUGGGGAGUACGCCGGCAACGGUGAAACUCAAAGGAAUUGACGGGGGCCCGCACAAGCGGAGGAACAUGUGGUUUAAUUCGAUGAUACGCGAGGAACCUUACCCGGGCUUAAAUUGCAGUGGAAUGAUGUGGAAACAUGUCAGUGAGCAAUCACCGCUGUGAAGGUGCUGCAUGGUUGU